CUGCCCGCACAGGGGCUGGAACUCGCACAACUGUGGGCACCACGAGGACGCCGGCGUCAUCUGCUCAGCUCCGCCCAUCGUCGUGACCACCCCAGAGCCUCCCUUCACCAGCACAAGGCCAGCUGGUAAGCCCUGCGCUCCCUGCCCUCGGUGACCGUCAGUGACGCUGGGAGAGAUGGCGGGAAUGGCGAGGCGGUGGCUUCCCUGCGUGUC